CGAAGCUCCGGAAAGUGGGGGGAAAGGCCCUCACGCCGAAGGUGCAACCGGGCGGGGAAGGGCCCCGUUUCCGGGAAUCUCUCAGGCAAAGAACGGAGGCG
rnacentral:ncRNA from 1 species